GUACCGGGCGUGAGAGCGUGACCCGGCUCACUGGGACUGAGACACUGCCCAGACACCUACGGGUGGCUGCAGUCGAGAAUCUUCGGCAAUGGACGCAAGUCUGACCGAGCGACGCCGCGUGCGGGAUGAAGGCCUUCGGGUUGUAAACCGCUGUCAGUUGGGAGGAAAUCAUAUGGGGUUCUCUCCAUAUGUUGACCUAUCUUCAGAGGAAGGACGGGCUAAGUUCGUGCCAGCAGCCGCGGUAAGACGAACCGUCCAAACGUUAUUCGGAAUUACUGGGCUUAAAGGGUGCGUAUGCGGUGCUGUAAGUUGGGUGUGAAAUCCCUCGGCUCAACCGAGGAAUUGCGCCCAAUACUGCAGUACUAGAGGGAGACAGAGGUGAGCGGAACUUGUGGUGGAGCGGUGAAAUGCGUUGAUAUCACAAGGAACACCUGUGGCGAAAGCGGCUCACUGGGUCUUUUCUGACGCUGAGGCACGAAAGCUGGGGGAGCGAACGGGAUUAGAUACCCCGGUAGUCCCAGCUGUAAACGUUGAGCACUAGACCGGAGGAACCCCCAUAGUUUUCCGGUCGUAGCGAAAGUGUUAGUGCUCCGCCUGGGGAGUAUGGUC
rnacentral:rRNA from 1 species